AAGGAGAGCCAAAUAAAUAUGCAUUAUAUUGUUAUUACCCCUCUGGAUAUUCCAAAAGCCCUGUUUACUGUCCCUAAAGAAAUAAAUAAUUGCUAAACGUUCUAUUAGGCACCAACCAAAAUACUAUAUAUACCGGUAAAAAACCUAGGUAGGUAGACUCAUCUGAAGAUUAAGACAAGGUUUUGCUACUACGACUUUCUUUUUUUCAAAAUGAAAAUGAAGGUGUGUUUCGUGCUUUUGCUGGCAAUAACGCAAUUACUUGCAGAACCAGGGCAGUUUAAAGCUCAGGACGACUUCAAGGCAGUACCCAAAGAUACGGCGGAUGGGGGCAAUGCAGGACUGGGCAAUGACAACAGUGACGGCUUCAAAGAACCAUUUAAACAGGAAUUCAAGUUCAAACAAGAAAGAAAGUAGUGCCUCUUAUGAAAACGGAAAGAUAAUUUGAAUAUAUGGGAAAGAUGAACUUGUAAAACUUUUAAAGUUUCCUUCUCCUUAUUUGUGCUUUUGUAUAUUGUUUAUCUAUUGCUUUACUUAUUAUGUAACAAAACAGAUACAGCUUCAAAAACAACAAACAAACAACAGACGGAGCAACCAAAUAAAAGAAAACAGAAGUUGUAGGAUAACCAGACAAAAAUAAGAAAAAAAUCACAAAACAAUUUCUUUGAAUGCAUAUGCAUAUUAUGUUAUUGGAACGAUAUACUUUUCAAA